ACUUUGACAAAGACUACUGUUCCUAAAGUAUUUUAGUGUCUGAGAUUAAAACGUCAUCUUAUUUUGAAAGACAUCAGUUCCUAACGUCAAUUAUAGCAAAGAAAAUUUUAAAAGUAAGAAGAAAAAAUGUCUUUAAAAAUGAUGACAUUCAUCUUUAUUUGGUUUGUUUACUGGGUUGGGCCAAGUUUUGGAUCAGAGACCGUCCAAAAGCAGUGUGAAGAGACGUCAAUAACCGGAAUAGUUGCGUCCAUCGACGUCCUGGUUUCUCUUGCCAAACAAAACUUGAAAACCAGAGAAAAUCAUCUAAUCCAUCAAGAAACGGACCACAUAUGUCCACCUUCUUCUCCUGGACCUACUGAUUGUGCUGAUGUUUUGUUUAAUGGACACCGUGCCAGUGGAGCGUACCGUAUCUGGCCCAAGUCAUGGACGACUACUGGAAGUUUCAGUGUUUACUGUGACAUGGAUACUGAUGGAGGAGGCUGGACGGUAAGUAACGUU